AAUAACUUUAUUUUUCGUUUUUUCUCGUCCAACGUUUAACUAUUCGUUUUAUUUGAAAUUUUUUUGCAAUUAAUAUUUUUAUUAUUACUAGAUGAUAAAAUAUGAAUAGUACUUUAUACGUGACUAAUUUUUUUAGGUUUUUGCAUUUUUUAAAUAAGAUAAAUGGUCAAACGUUGGAAACGUAAAAAC
rnacentral:pre_miRNA from 1 species